GGGGCUGUGGCUCAGUGGUAGAGCAUUUCCUUGGUAUGCAGAAGGUUCCAGGUUCAUUUCCCAUCAUCUCCA
rnacentral:tRNA from 1 species